GAUGAACGCUGGCGGCGUGCCUAAUACAUGCAAGUCGAGCGAACGGACGAGAAGCUUGCUUUUCUGAUGUUAGCGGCGGACGGGUGAGGAACACGUGGAUAACCUACCUAUAAGACUGGGAUAACUUCGGGAAACCGGAGCUAAUACCGGAUAAUAUUUUGAACCGCAUGGUUCAAAAGUUAAAGACGGUCUUGCUGUCACUUAUAGAUGGAUCCGCGCUGCAUUAGCUAGUUGGUAAGGUAACGGCUUACCAAGGCAACGAUGCAUAGCCGCCCUGAGAGGGUCAUCCGCCACACUGGCACUGAGACACGGCCCAGACUCCUACGGGAGGCAGCAGUAGGGACUCUUACGCAAUGGGCGAAAGCCUGACGGAGCACCGCCGCGUGAGUGAUGAAGGUCUUCUGAUCGUAAAACUCUGUUAUUAGGGAAGAACAUAUGUGUAAGUAACUGUGCACAUCUUGACGGUACCUAAUCAGAAAGCUCCGGCUAACUACGUG
rnacentral:rRNA from 1 species